rnacentral:rRNA from 1 species
AGCGAACGCUGGCGGCAGGCUUAACACAUGCAAGUCGAGCGGUCACUUUCGGGUGUCAGCGGCUGACGGGUGAGUAACGGUUGGGUACUUGCCCUCUGGUUCGGAAUAACUCAGGGAUACUUGAGCUAAUACCGGAUCCGCCCCUUUGGGGAAAGGCUUGCUGCCGGAGUAUCGGCCGGCGUCUGAUUACCUAGUUGGUGAGGUGACGGCUCACCAAGGUGACGAUCAGUAGCUGGUCUGAGAGAAUGAUCCGAGACACUGGGACUGAGACACGGCCCAGAAUCUUACGGGAGGCAGCAGAGGGGAAUAUUGGACAAAGGGGGCAAGGCUGAGCGAGCCAGGCCGCGUGAGUGAUGAAGGCGGUAGAGUUGUAAAGCAGUUUUAUCCGGGACGAUAAUGACGGUACCGAAGGAAUAAGCACCGGCUAACUUCGUG